GCUGGAGUGGCGGAAUUGGCAUACGCGCUGGUCUCAAAAACCAGUGAGGGUAACCUCAUGAGGGUUCAACUCCCUCCUCCAGCA
rnacentral:tRNA from 1 species